UGGGGAAUAUUGCACAAUGGGCGAAAGCCUGAUGCAGCGACGCCGCGUGCGGGAUGAAGGCCUUCGGGUUGUAAACCGCUUUUGAUUGGGAGCAAGCGAGAGUGAGUGUACCUUUCGAAUAAGCACCGGCUAACUACGUGCCAGCAGCCGCGGUAAUACGUAGGGUGCAAGCGUUAUCCGGAAUUAUUGGGCGUAAAGAGCUCGUAGGCGGUUUGUCGCGUCUGGUGUGAAAGUCCAUCGCUUAACGGUGGAUCUGCGCCGGGUACGGGCAGGCUAGAGUGCGACAGGGGAGACUGGAAUUCCCGGUGUAACGGUGGAAUGUGUAGAUAUCGGGAAGAACACCAAUGGCGAAGGCAGGUCCCUGGGUCGUCACUGACGCUGAGGAGCGAAAGCGUGGGGAGCGAACAGGAUUAGAUACCCUGGUAGUCCACGCCGUAAACGGUGGAUGCUGGAUGUGGGGCCCAUUCCACGGGUUCCGUGUCGGAGCUAACGCGUUAAGCAUCCCGCCUGGGGAGUACGGCCGCAAGGCUAAAAC
rnacentral:rRNA from 1 species